GGAAAGUAGGCCUGGGGAAGUAGCUAGGUUAGGAGCCUAUCAGCAACCACACCCUAGGACCGGGUGUGACCGAGAAAGCCAGCGUUCCUCGCUCCAGGGAGGCACGGGCGAGGUCAGGAAUUCAGGGUAUUCCUUAGUUACACAGCUAGUUUAAGGCCAGCCUUGUGACCCUAGCCCAAGGAAACAAAAAGAAGAAAGAAAGAAAGAAAGAAAGGAAGGAAGGAAGGAAGGAAGGAAGGAAGGAGAAAAGGAGAUGGAGGAAAGGAGGGAGAGGGAAAAGGGAAAGAGAAAGUUAAAACCAGAGACCAGAGCUGGUGAGAAGCCCCAGAGAUAAAUAGAGAUGCUCACUCACUCUCAAUCUGAGAUCCCUCCCUUGGACCUAUAAAGUGUUGGGAAGACCUAAUUCAUGAAUGUUAGUCCUUUGCCAGUUCCACUUACACACACACACACACACACACACACACACACACACAGGCAAAUAGCUAAUUGACUAAAUAAAUAGAAGCAACUGCCAGAGAGAUAGAGAGAUCCUGGGCGGGGAGGAAGCCAGGGAGAGAGUGCUUCCCUCCUGGAGUUCUAGCUAAUAGCUGACAUUCAUUGCCUGCAGGCAGGUCACAUGCUGCCCGUGACUAACCCUGGGGCUAAGGAAAUGCUGUCCACUGAUGACUCAACUAACCGGAAGCCAAGUUUGGGAGUGUUUGGUCAGUUUAGCUGUCCUCAAAGAACCAUGGGUUGUGAGGCCCUAUCCCCAGCAUCACAUACACACACUAGACACACACCAGACACACACUCACAAGCAACCCCCACAAAGACACCUCCACAAACCACACAGGCACCCGUAUACUCCAUACACACCCCCCACAUUCAUACAAACACACGAGACACACACCUCACAUAUCCCAGAUAGCUCACACACAAGUUCACACACAAGCCAGAUACACCACACAUACAAACACACAAUUACAUACAAACCACACACCCCAAACACGCCACACACACACAAUAAUUUAGGAGUCGGAGUUUUGUUCUGUUCCAUAAGUGGUGCUUGGACUGAGUACAGAUAACAUGAGCUUUGUCCUGGACGAGGAAACCAUGUGACUUUUGGUGACUACAAGAAAAGGCAUACGGUUGGUGGGCUUCCUGGUACAGCUUUCUUUAGCGCAGGGAAAGCCUGGCUUUCAUUUCAACACUGUAAAAAAAGAUACAGGAGCUGGGUGUGGUAUUGCCUCCUUUAAUCUCAGCACUAGGGAGGCAGAGGCAAGGGGAUCUCUGGGACUUUAAGGCCAGCCUGAUCUACAUAAAUUCUGGGAAUACCUAGAGAGACUCUGUCUCAAAAAAAAAAAAAAAAAGUGGCUCUCAGCUGCUUGACCAAUGAGACUCCAGGUGCUUGAUAGGUCAUCUUGGGAGAACUGGAGUGUCCCCCUCCUCCUCCCCCUCCCCCCUAGAGCCUUCUAUCAGAGCCUUGCAGCAAGUAAAGCCCUCACUUCAGCCUUUACAUAAUAGGCAUUUAUCUCUUCCUCAAGUUGCCAGCCAGCCAGCAGCCAGUUGAUUGACAGCCCUCCUCUGUCCCUGGGGGCCUCUUCGUUGUUGUUUGCUUUGAGUGGUGGCAGGGGAGGAGAGAGGAGGAGGCAGUAGGCCCCAGAUUUCUGGCACACACACCAAAGGAGCUUUUGUUUAGCAGGGCAAGACACUGGGCAGUGUCUCCUUCCAGGAUGCCACAGGCCUCCAAAGUCUCCAAACUCCCCGAUACAAAAGGGCUUCUUUUGUUUUUUAAUUAGCUAGUAACGGGGUCUCAUGGUGCAGUACAGGCUGGCCUCCCAAAUGCCCAAAUGCUUUGAGUUCAGUUUUCCUUUUUUUUUUUUCUUUUAGUCAAAGUCUGUAUACGGCCCAGGCUGGCCUUGAUCUUACAAGGCUACUCCUGCUUCAGCCUGCUAAGUGCUGGGAUUAAAGCAGGAGGCACUAUGUUUGUUUUGAUGGCUUCUUGAUUCUCUGCAGACUUGGAUGCAGCAGAGAACAACAGCUUUCACCAGCAUCCAUGGAAUCUGAAAGGGUUUGUGCUAUCUGUCUGUCUGUCUCUGUCUGUCUCUGUCUCUCUCUCUCUGUCUCUCUCUCUCUCUCUCUCAUGCUAAGAAUAGAAUCCAGGACCUAGAGAGAUGACUCAACAGUUCAGAAAAUGGGCUACUGUUCCAGAGGACCUGAGUUUGAUUCCCAGGACUGACAUGUCAGCACACAACUGUCUUUAACUUCAGUCCCAGGGGAUCUGACGCCCUCUUCUGGCCUCUUUGGGCACCUGGCAUACAUGUGGUGCACAUACAUACAGGCAGGCAAAACACUUAUUGAUAGAUUGACUGGGAUUAAAGGCAGUGUAUGCCACCAGUGCCC
rnacentral:lncRNA from 1 species